ensembl:antisense Aknaos AT-hook transcription factor, opposite strand
CUACUGCAUGAGUGUCUCCAGCACCGAACAGGCCCUACUCACUCUCCCAUCUCCUUUAAACACUUCAGGGAGAGUUGGUGUCCCCGUUCUAGUCAGUUCCAAUGACUGCCCUUCACUUCCAUAGAGCCUGCAUUUCCCUUUACGCAUGCUAUCAAAAUGAUAAAUAACUCUACAACUAGUGCAUGUAUUCAGAAAACUCCGUAAGGGCAGAGGUCACCCUCUCUACCUUCUGUCCCCACUGCAUCCCCACUGUGUGUCAUGGGACCUACAAUAUGGUACACAGUCCCUAAAUAUUUAGUGAAGAAAUUAACAUGGAAUGAAUAAGAGAAGCAAAAGGGGACCGGACCAAUGAGAUGGAAUGAAGCAGUACCUCCUGCAUGGUCUCAUUCAGAACUCCAAGCUGGCCUUGAAUUCAGUGAUCGGCCUGCCCCCGCCUCUCAAAUGCUGGGGUUACAGUCAUGAGUCACCAGUCUGUGAGAUCAUUGGGAGUCUCAUUUUGACAUGUCCUAAGCUCCUGUGUGCUCUGAACUCCCAGCUCAUCCUCCCUCAAACCUACCCAAUGUCAAGAAGUGAACAGCCCAACAAGGGCCGGGGGUUCCCCGGUGGGACAGCCUCAGCCAUGCCCUGCAUCUGCUCAGUGCGCCCUGCCUGCCAAAGAGGAAAUGCUAUCCCAGGUACAGGACCAAGAAUGGUGGCAGUGGAAUGUCAUACUGCUGGACCACAGAGGAGCCAGAAAACACCAGGGAAACUCCAAAAAAAAUCAGAGGGGAAGGAGGAACAUGGCUAAUUCUACUUAUUUGACACAUCCCGCAAACUGAAAAGACAAAGGCGGGGUGCGAAAUGUGGAUGACUACCGGGAAAACCUGACUCCACAGUGAUUAUCUAUCAAAAAGAGAGCAGAGGAGAAAAGGCAGACAGAAGAUAUUUGGAAAGAAGAAAUGCAAGAAGGGCUGCAGAGACUUGAGGGGCACACGGGCCAAGUGCCACCCACAAGUUUCAUCUGACUGCAGGGGACGGAAAGAACAAGCCACUGCUGAGUGCGUGGGGGACCUGUUUCUGCCUCCGCAUGCGACCCUGUGGGCAGAGUUCUUAGAGUUAAACAAUAAACUACAAAAUAACUGC